GUCUUUUUGGUUAUUUAAUAUAAAGUCUGACCUGCCCACUGAAAUUAUUUUGAAGGGCCGCAGUAUUUUGACUGUGCAAAGGUAGCAUAAUCAUUAGUCUUUUAAUUGAAGGCUGGUAUGAAUGGUUGGAUGAGAUACAAGCUGUGUCAUAAAAAUUAAUAUUUGAAUUUACCUUUUUAGUCAAAAGGCUAAAAUAAAAUUAAAAGACGAGAAGACCCUAUAGAGCUUUAUAUAAUUUGUAUUUAAAUUAUUAAGAUUUUUUAAAUUUAAUUAUUUUAUUAUAUUUUGUUGGGGUGACAAUAAAAUUUAUAAAACUUUUAUUAUUAAUAAACAUUUAUUUAUGGUUAUAUGAUCCAGUUUUAUUGAUUAUAAAUUUAAGUUACCUUAGGGAUAACAGCGUAAUUUUUUUUGAGAGUUCUUAUCGACAAAAAAGAUUGCGACCUCGAUGUUGGAUUAAGAGUAAUUUUGGGUGUAGAAGUUCAAAGUUUAAGUCUGUUCGACUUUUAAAUUCUUACAU
rnacentral:rRNA from 1 species